rnacentral:rRNA from 1 species
UGCAGUCGAGCGGAGAUGAGGUGCUUGCACCUUAUCUUAGCGGCGGACGGGUGAGUAAUGCUUAGGAAUCUGCCUAUUAGUGGGGGACAACAUUUCGAAAGGAAUGCUAAUACCGCAUACGCCCUACGGGGGAAAGCAGGGGAUCUUCGGACCUUGCGCUAAUAGAUGAGCCUAAGUCGGAUUAGCUAGUUGGUGGGGUAAAGGCCUACCAAGGCGACGAUCUGUAGCGGGUCUGAGAGGAUGAUCCGCCACACUGGGACUGAGACACGGCCCAGACUCCUACGGGAGGCAGCAGUGGGGAAUAUUGGACAAUGGGGGGAACCCUGAUCCAGCCAUGCCGCGUGUGUGAAGAAGGCCUUUUGGUUGUAAAGCACUUUAAGCGAGGAGGAGGAGCUCUAGAUUAAUACUCUAGAUGCUUGGACGUUACUCGCAGAAUAAGCACCGGCUAACUCUGUGCCAGCAGCCGCGGUAAUACAGAGGGUGCAAGCGUUAAUCGGAUUUACUGGGCGUAAAGCGUGCGUAGGUGGUCUUUUAAGUCGGAUGUGAAAUCCCUGAGCUUAACUUAGGAACUGCAUUCGAUACUGGGAGACUAGAGUAUGGGAGAGGAUGGUAGAAUUCCA